rnacentral:rRNA from 1 species
GACGAACGCUGGCGGCGUGCUUAACACAUGCAAGUCGAACGGAAAGGCCCUGCUUUUGUGGGGUGCUCGAGUGGCGAACGGGUGUGUAACACGUGAGUAACCUGCCCUUGACUUUGGGAUAACUUCAGGAAACUGGGGCUAAUACCGGAUAGGAGCUCCUGCUGCAUGGUGGGGGUUGGAAAGUUUCGGCGGUUGGGGAUGGACUCGCGGCUUAUCAGCUUGUUGGUGGGGUAGUGGCUUACCAAGGCUUUGACGGGUAGCCGGCCUGAGAGGGUGACCGGCGACAUUGGGACUGAGAUACGGCCCAGACUCCUACGGGAGGCAGCAGUGGGGAAUAUUGCACAAUGGGCGGAAGGCUGAUGCAGCAACGCCGCGUGCGGGAUGACGGCCUUCGGGUUGUAAACCGCUUUCGCCUGUGACGAAGCGUGAGUGACGGUAAUGGGUAAAGAAGCACCGGCUAACUACGUG